AGCUGCGUGGCGCAGUGGAAGCGCGGUAAGUCUCUGAAACUCACACAGCGCACAUAAUUGAAUCAUUACUGACUCUCUAUCUUCAGCCGGGCUCAUAACCCGGAGGUCCUCCGAUCGAAACGGAGCGCAGCUA
rnacentral:tRNA from 1 species